CACAGUUGAAAAAGUUUGUGGCUCAGGAAAAUUCAGAAACGAUGGCCAAGUGUAUAGUGUUGACCACUAUAGCGAUGCUGGCGAUGGCAUGUGUGGCCUCUCCUCUGUCCAAAGACACAGCUGCGCACACAAAGACAACGGGACGGUUCCCGGAGAGACCGCCUGAGACACCCGAGAGACUGGAGUCCCGUGUGAGUCGUUCCGUGCAUAUACCGGAGGAUCAGCGCGAGCUCGUGUCCCGGCAGCUGUUGCAGGCACUAUCAGAAAUCAUCCAACGGGAGGACUGCGUUUCAGAUUAUCAAGGAUGGGUAGACUUUGGACGCCGGAGUACAAACUGAGAUUUAACUGUAUGAAAAGUAGUAAAAACUUUGUCAUUAAAUAUAUUUGCAACAAUAUGUGUGUGUGUGUGUGUGUGUGUCAUCCAGGUGCGAAUUUCACAUUUUAUAUAGCCUAUAUGCAGUACAUAGAUUAGAUUCAACUUUAUU
ensembl:lncRNA